AGAUCAGAACCCCCGAUGGGGGAGGGGAAAUGCCCCCACAACUCCAGGCCGGGGCUCAGCAGAACUCCCUCGGGGGGGGGGUCAGCACACCUGGGCAGAUUCUUCCUUCUAACUUCAGGGAAGGCUCUCCAGCAACUCUGGGCUUAGGCUGCUCCCACCCGCCACAGCCGUCCGGAACCUGAAAGCCUCCCUGGAAGGUGAGUGGAAUAUGCCCACUUGGCAGACAUGGAAAGAAGACCACAGAGGCCGGGCAACUCUUCCAAGUCACUAAGAAGGCACCAACAGAACUCAGAUUUGACCCCAGGCAGGGGAAAUAAGAGGAUCACACGGGAGGGGCCCAGGUGGUGGUCAGGUGUGAGGGCGGCCCUGCGCUCACAGUUGGCACUCAGUCCUGUUGGGGGAUCGCUCCUGCCACCGACCACCUCCCUGCCCCGCCCACAGCUAUGGACACCAAAUGGGCACGGAGGCAGGGAGUAGACAGGUCUGUGCCGCGUGCGUGGAGCUGGCCUGAAGAGUCCCCUGCGGGCAGCUGACCUGGCGAUUCCCUUCACUCUCACUGCUCUAAUCAUCCAACACUGUUGCCCGCCAGCGAAACAUACCAGGGCCUAGAAUUAGUCUCCCUACACCCUGAUGCCCACCCUGGAAAAAAACAGGAGAGCUGCGUACUUGGCAACAGGCUAGCAAAUUCACACCCUGUCUUCCUUUCCCAUCCUCUGCUCAGACCCUGCGGCAGGGAUGCACAUAGACCCUGCCCCCACCCCUGCAUCUCAGGAGCUCAGGGCGGAGACCAGUGGAGGCAGAGAAGAAAUAAACACAGGCGAGUGGGCUUGUCUCGGCUCCCCGCUCUAAGCAGCAGGUCUGAUUGUGGCACAGGGAGGAAGAAGGGGGUCCCCAGAGCAGACGGCUCGUCCCACACUGCCACUGUUUGGGGUGCCUGGGCUAAUCUAUCCCCAGGAGACCAAGGCUUGGCCAAGCUGCGUCAGCCUGUCCUGGAGGUGUGUGAUGGGCCAGCCCCCUAGAAGGUCCCUCCACAGCCUGGGCAUUUCCACGGAGCUGCUAAGAGAGGCUACAUCCGGAAGCAGGACUCUGGACAUCUCAGGCCCACGGGAGAGAAGGCUCUUGGAGCCACACUAGCACCUGCUCGUGUUCACGAUCUCCGGGAGCACGCACGGCACGAGGUGCAAUCCCAGGCUCCCCUCUGCUCGCGCUCCCCACAGCCGGCUGCUGUUAAGCUGCCCUCCCUUCCCCGACAUCCUGCGUGUGGCUUUGGCCUCCGUCUGCCGGGUGUGAGUACGCCCCUGCACCUCCCACGGCGGGGAGUGGUAAGAGAGGGCUGUAAGCAGCUGGGGCAGCUGCUGACCCUUGGGCACCUGUCCGUCCCAACUCAGAUGCCCGCGGCUGCUUUGCCAGCGCCUGAGUUAUCCUGGGAAACCCAAUCUCCCAGAGGCACCAGGCAGCCCCUGGCCAGCAGCUUAGCAAACAAACCUGGGCAGAAAGGGCACCUCUGUGGAGGUGGGACUAGAACACAGAGAGAGCGGGGAUGGGAACCACAGAAUCGUUGUCGCUGCUGUUGUUAGGUAAUAAAAGGGAUUGAGAGGGACUGUGGCCAGAUGCUACUUGAAGCACUUUACAAGCAUCAUCUCAUGUAAUUCUUACAAUUACUUACGAAAUAGCCAAUUCUGAGAGCUACG